GGACCCGUGGUGUAGCGGUUAACAUGCGGCCCUGUCAAGGCCGAGAGCGCGGGUUCGAAUCCCGUCGGGUCCGCCA
rnacentral:tRNA from 1 species